UGGUGGAGUGAUUUGUCUGCUUAAUUGCGUUAACGAACGAGACCUCAGCCUGCUGAAUAGUUAUGCGAACGCUCAGCCCGGGUGAAGCGGGCGGGGCAGUGGCUGCCUUCGGGCGGUUGCACCCCGGCCGUGGAUCCUUGAUGCGUUCGUAGCGAUACUUCUUAGAGGGACAAUUGGUAUCAAGCCAAUGGAAGUUUGAGGCAACAACA
rnacentral:rRNA from 1 species